rnacentral:tRNA from 1 species
UUAGCUCAGCUGGAUAGAGCAACGGCCUUCUAAGCCGUAGGUCAUAGGUUCGAAUCCUAUA